AACCGACUCCCUGCUGAGGAAAAGGAUCGUACUCUGUAAUAUCUCAAAAUGAAUAGAAGAAAAUGCAUAGGCGCUAGGACUAGUUAACCGAAUGGUCAGUUGGUUUAAGAAGAAAGUCAAUAUUCUCGAACUUCCUUGAAAAAAUAUGGAGGAGCGCAGUCCCUUCGAGGACGACUGCAGCAAAGAAUCAGAUUUAUCCAUUAGCUAGUUGGUACUGAUCUAGAUUCAAAGAAUUAUACUACAAGUCAAUAGUUGUUUACCUCUUUCUUCCAUUAAUGUCCCAACUUUUUUUAUGUAAUUCGUAUUCUAACUUAUAAAUGAGAUAUUUACUUGGUGGAUUUGGCGCAUAAAUGGGUGUCUCUUGAGCGCGCAGUUAACUUUUCAGGACACAUUACUAACAUAGAGCAUUAAGGAAUUCUACAAUAUACUUGA